rnacentral:rRNA from 1 species
CCUACGGGAGGCAGCAGUGGGGAAUAUUGGGCAAUGGGCGAAAGUCUGAACCAGCCAUGCCGCGUGCAGGAAGACGGCUCUAUGAGUUGUAAACUGCUUUUGUACGAGGGUAAACGCAGAUACGCGUAUCUGUCUGAAAGUAUCGUACGAAUAAGGAUCGGCUAACUCCGUGCCAGCAGCCGCGGUAAUACGGAGGAUUCAAGCGUUAUCCGGAUUUAUUGGGUUUAAAGGGUGCGUAGGCGGUCGGAGAAGUUAGAGGUGAAAGCCCGAGGCUCAACUUCGGAAUUGCUUCUGAUACUGUUCGGCUAGAGAGUAGUAGCGGUAGGCGGAAUGUAUGGUGUAGCGGUGAAAUGCUUAGAGAUCAUACAGAACACCGAUUGCGAAGGCAGCUUACCAAGCUACUUCUGACGUUGAGGCACGAAAGCGUGGGGAGCAAACAGGAUUAGAUACCCGGGUAGUC